AGGCUGAAGAGGGAGAAGCUGGGAACAGGUCCCCUGGUAGCUUCUUUCCUAGGCGCCAAAGGCUUCAGAAGAAGGGUGAUGAAGGGUGUUAUCAAGGGAGGAGGAGGGAGACAUGCCCUCUUCUGCAUCUUUGACCAGCAACCAGAAAAUCUGAAAGAUGGAUGUUUCCAGCCUCAGUGGAUAUUCAUGAGUUAGAGAGUUCUUGAGUUCCUUGAGUCAGUAUUGAUGGCUUUGUAGAAGCAUUAUCCUGAAUAUUUGAACCUAAGACGUCCUGACUCCAGGCUAGGUGUUCUAUCCCCUGGGUAACUUAGCAUCUGUGAGUAGUGCAGGAGCCUGCCAACAUUUCAGCCAUCUGGGCUUCCUCGGGGCAGUAUACAAGUAAAAUAUGGGAAUAAAAUAUGUGAG